GGGCCCGUAGCUCAGCGGUUAGAGCAGUGGACUCAUAAUCCAUUGGUCCCAGGUUCAAAUCCUGGCGGGCCCACCA
rnacentral:tRNA from 4 species